rnacentral:lncRNA from 1 species
UUGUAUCCUAAGACUUUGCUGAAGUUGCUUAUCAGCUUGAGGAGAUUUUGGGCUGAGACAAUGGGGUUUUCUAGAUAUACAAUCAUGUCGUCUGCAAAGAGGGACAAUUUGACUUCCUCUUUUCCUAAUUGAAUACCCUUUAUUUCCUUCUCCUGCCUAAUUGCCCUGGCCAGAACUUCCAACACUAUGUUGAAUAGGAGUGGUGAGAGAGGGCAUCCCUGUCUUGUGCCAGUUUUCAAAGGGAAUGCUUCCAGUUUUUGCCCAUUCAGUAUGAUGUUGGCUGUGGGUUUGUCAUAGAUAGCUCUUAUUAUUUUGAAAUACGUCCCAUCAAUACCUAAUUUAUUGAGAGUUUUUAGCAUGAAGGGUUGUUGAAUUUUGUCAAAGGCUUUUUCUGCAUCUAUUGAGAUAAUCAUGUGGUUUUUGUCUUUGGCUCUGUUUAUAUGCUGGAUUACAUUUACUGAUUUGCAUAUAUUGAACCAGCCUUGCAUCCCAGGGAUGAAGCCCACUUGAUCAUGGUGGAUAAGCUUUUUGAUGUGCUGCNNNNNNNNNNNNNNNNNNNNNNNNNCUGCCGACCUCGUGAUCCGCCCGCCUUGGCCUCCCAAAGUGCUGGGAUAACAGGCAUGAGCCACCGCGCCUGGUCAAAUACUUUAUUCCUUAAAAAAAUGAUCUGAAGUAAAUUUUGCUUAAUGUCAAGAUUUAUUAAGACUAGGUAUUAGGCUAAUGGAUGUUUGUUAUUCUGUAAUUUUUUUUGCAUGGUUGGAAUAUUUAUAAUACAGAUGCUGCUAUUGUGUUUUCAUUUCUUUAUUGGAUUUCUUAAGUUUGUAAUAUUUUUAUUAAUAUUCUGAUUAAUCUAUACUUGCAAUUAUUAUAUAUCUUUUUGAUUUUUCUAUCAACAUAGUUGAUUGUAAUUGUUUAUGGUAUAUUUUACUGUUACACAGUGACCUUGCCUACCUAUAUGCUUUAUUUGUCUAAAUAGAAACUUCGGCUUUGCUUACUUUUGCACAGAUGGCCGUUGCAUUAUCUAUAUGAAAUUCGUAUUGUGGUCUCCAUUUAAUCUGGUAUUAUAUUUUUUUCUUUUAGAGAAACAGGAUCUUGCUAUGUUGGCCAGGCUAGUCUCAAA